rnacentral:lncRNA from 1 species
GGAAAAUAUUUGCAGGGCAGGACUAGAAAUGCAGACAUAGAGAACAGAGUUGUGGACACAGUGGGUGAAGCAGAGGGUGGGACGAGUUGAGAGAAUAGUAUUGAAAUAUGUACAUUCAGUUCAGUUCAGUCUCUCAGUCGUGUCCGACUCUUCGCGACCCCAUGAAUCGCAGCACGCCAGGCCUCCCUGUCCAUCACCAACUCCCGGAGUUCACCCAGACUCACGUCCAUCAUUCCAUAUGCAAAACAGACAGGGGGAAGUAGCUGUGUAACACAAGAAGCUCAACCGAGUGCUCUGUGACAACCUAGAGGGGUGGGAUGGGGUGGGGAGUGGAAGACAGGAGACGUAUGUGUAUUUAUGGCUGAUUCACGUUGUUGUGUGGCAGAAACCAACACAACAUUGUAAAGCAAUUAUCCUCCAGUUAAAAAAAAAUGCAUAGAGAAAAAAAUCCAGGUUAUUUCUCCUAUAAUUGUUCAAGCUUGUGUAACAGUUUGGAACAUUAUUAGUAGAUAAUCCCCCUCUCCCUUUCUCUCUCUAGAUGGAAGGAAAGUUUGGUACCAAGUGAUGUUCAAUGCCCCAGCUGGAAACAUUUACCUUGUUUAGAUCCAACUUCAGGAAAGUUUGGGAUGCUGUCUCUGCACGCCGUGUCUUUGAUCUCAGUUCUCAAGUGUGCCCACGGAAGCAGGCCUGAGGGAUGUGACCCCACCACAGAAUACCUGGAGUACGGAAAGAUUCCCAUUUAGAGACAUGCAUCAUUUCUCAUCAUAGAAGCUCAUGAAACCCAUCUUUUGCUGUCUGACAAGGUGCCUAAGCAUUGUUCCUGGGGAGACCAGAAGCAAGACAUGGUCCUUGGCUGUUUAUUUCUACACCUCUCUGUCGCCCUCCCCUGGAUGCACUCUGAGUAUCUUGAGGGCAGAGUGCCUUUCAGAUCAUGUUUUAAAACCUUCCCCGUCUGGCGUUGGGAACGCAGCCGCGGCUUGGUGGUGGAUAGCAAGAGGCAAAGGCAGCAGAAGCCAAAAGAGAGGAUCCCAUCUGCUCAAGGCCAAGUGA